rnacentral:rRNA from 1 species
GACGAACGCUGGCGGCGUGCUUAACACAUGCAAGUCGAACGGUGAAGCGCCUUCCUUUUUGGUGGGUGUGGAUGAGUGGCGAACGGGUGAGUAACACGUGAGUAACCUGCCCCCUUCUUCUGGAUAACCGCAUGAAAGUGAGGCUAAUACGGGAUAUUCUGGGUCUGUCGCAUGAUGGGUCUGGGAAAGAUAUUGUUUCGGUGGGGGAUGGGCUCGCGGCCUAUCAGCUUGUUGGUGGGGUGAUGGCCUACCAAGGCGGUGACGGGUAGCCGGCCUGGGAGGGUGGACGGUCACACUGGGACUGAGACACGGCCCAGACUCCUACGGGAGGCAGCAGUGGGGAAUAUUGCACAAUGGGCGCAAGCCUGAUGCAGCGACGCCGCGUGAGGGAUGGAGGCCUUCGGGUUGUGAACCUCUUUCGCCAGUGAAGCAGGCCUGCCUCGUUUGUGGGUGGGUUGACGGUAGCUGGAUAAGAAGCGCCGGCUAACUACGUG